GUCUUUUUGAUUAUAAUUUAAAAUCUGACCUGCCCAAUGAGUAUUUGAAUGGCCGCGGUAAUUUGACCGUGCAAAGGUAGCAUAAUCAUUAGUUUUUUAAUUGAAAGCUGGAAUGAAUGGUUGGACGAGAAAAUAACUGUCUCAAUUUAAUUGUAUAUAGAAUUUUAUUUAUAAGUAAAAAAGCUUAUAUGAUUUUAAAAGACGAGAAGACCCUAUAGAGUUUUACAUUUUAUUAUAUUAAUUAAUUUUAGAAUGUUUAUGUUUUUAAUAUAGUAAAAUGUUUUGCUGGGGCAGCAGAAAAAUUAAAUAAACUUUUUUUAUUAUUAUUACAUUGAUUUAUGAUUUAAUGAUCCAUUUUUUAUGAUUAUAAGAUUAAAUUACCUUAGGGAUAACAGCGUAAUUUUUUUUUAGAGUUCUUAUCGAAAAAAGAGUUUGCGACCUCGAUGUUGGAUUAAAAUUAACUUUUGGUGUAGGGGCUAAAAGGUUAGGUCUGUUCGACCUUUAAAAUUUUACA
rnacentral:rRNA from 1 species